rnacentral:lncRNA from 1 species
AAAUAUUAAACAUUUAUCAUAUUUAAUAAGUUUGAAAGUUUUUAUAGAUAAAAGAAUUGAAAAUUCAUACCUGAGAGAUGUCUUAAAUAUUUCUUAACAGCUUUGAAGAUGGUGAAGAUAUAAACAUUCUAUGCUGCAAAAGAAAAAAAGGAAUAGAUAAAUGUAUAAAUUCUCAUUAAUUAUUCCUAUUUCCUACCACUUAUUCUCAC